rnacentral:rRNA from 1 species
GACGAACGCUGGCGGCGUGCCUAAUACAUGCAAGUAGAACGCUGAAGCGAGGAGCUUGCUCUUCUUGGAUGAGUUGCGAACGGGUGAGUAACGCGUAGGUAACCUGCCUUGUAGCGGGGGAUAACUAUUGGAAACGAUAGCUAAUACCGCAUAACAAUGGAUGACACAUGUCAUUUAUUUGAAAGGGGCAAUUGCUCCACUACAAGAUGGACCUGCGUUGUAUUAGCUAGUAGGUGAGGUAAUGGCUCACCUAGGCGACGAUACAUAGCCGACCUGAGAGGGUGAUAGGCCACACUGGGACGGGGAAACGGCCCAGACGCCUACGGGAGGCAGCAGUAGGGAAUCUUCGGCAAUGGGGGCAACCCUGACCGAGCAACGCCGCGUGAGUGAAGAAGGUUGUCGGAUCGUAAAGCUCGGUUGUAAGUCAAGAACGGGUGUGAGAGUGGAAAGUUCACACUGUGACGGUAGCUUACCAGAAAGGGACGGCUAACUACGUG